rnacentral:rRNA from 1 species
UACGGAGGAUCCGAGCGUUAUCCGGAUUUAUUGGGUUUAAAGGGUGCGUAGGCGGCCUUUUAAGUCAGCGGUGAAAGUCUGUGGCUCAACCGUAAAAUUGCAGUUGAAACUGGCAGUCUUGAGUACAGUAGAGGUGGGCGGAAUUCGUGGUGUAGCGGUGAAAUGCUUAGAUAUCACGAAGAACUCCGAUUGCGAAGGCAGCUCACUGGACUGCAACUGACACUGAGGCUCGAAAGUGUGGGUAUCAAACAGG